rnacentral:rRNA from 1 species
GACGAAUGCUGGCUGCGUGCUUAACACAUGCAAGUCGAACGGUGAACAGGGGCUUGCCCCUGGGAUCAGUGGCGAACGGGUGAGUAACACGUGGGCAACCUGCCCCUCACUCUGGGAUAACUCCGGGAAACCGGGGCUAAUACCGGAUACGACCGGGACCGACAUCGGGUCCGGUGGAAAGAACUUCGGUGAGGGAUGGGCCCGCGGCCUAUCAGCUUGUUGGUGAGGUAACGGCUCACCAAGGCGACGACGGGUAGCCGGCCUGAGAGGGCGACCGGCCACACUGGGACUGAGACACGGCCCAGACUCCUACGGGAGGCAGCAGUGGGGAAUAUUGGGCAAUGGGCGAAAGCCUGACCCAGCAACGCCGCGUGAAGGAUGAAGUAUUUCGGUAUGUAAACUUCGAAAGAAUGGGAAGAAUAAAUGACGGUACCAUUUAUAAGCUCCGGCUAACUACGUGCCAGCAGCCGCAGUAAUAC